AGUGAACGCUGGCGGUAGGCCUAACACAUGCAAGUCGAACGGCAGCACAGAGGAGCUUGCUCCUUGGGUGGCGAGUGGCGGACGGGUGAGGAAUACAUCGGAAUCUACUCUGUCGUGGGGGAUAACGUAGGGAAACUUACGCUAAUACCGCAUACGACCUACGGGUGAAAGCAGGGGACCUUCGGGCCUUGCGCGAUUGAAUGAGCCGAUGUCGGAGUAGCUAGUUGGCGGGGUAAAGGCCCACCAAGGCGACGAUCCGUAGCUGGUCUGAGAGGAUGAUCAGCCACGCUGGAACUGAGAAACGGUCCAGACUCCUACGGGAGGCAGCAGUGGGGAAUAUUGGACAAUGGGCGCAAGCCUGAUCCAGCCAUACCGCGUGGGUGAAGAAGGCCUUCGGGUUGUAAAGCCCUUUUGUUGGGAAAGAAAUCCAGCUGGCUAAUACCCGGUUGGGAUGACGGUACCCAAAGAAUAAGCACCGGCUAACUUCGUGCCAGCAGCCGCCGUAA
rnacentral:rRNA from 1 species